GUUACUAAUACAAUACUUUCCGCCAGAGAACUACAAGUGAAAAACUUGAAACUCAAAGGACUUGACGGUGUCCCAUAUCGACCUAGAGGAGCCUGUCCUAUAAUCGAUACCCCCCGUUCCACCCAACCUCAACUAGCAAAAUAUCAGCCUAUAUACCGCCGUCGACAGUUUACCCUAUGAAGGCCCAAUAGUAGACACAAUAGCCCAAACGCUAAUACGUCAGGUCAAGGUGUAGCAUAUGUUGAGGAAGAGAUUGGCUACAUUUUUUAUAAUAAAAAACACGAAUUGCACUAUGAAAAACUGCAUGAAGGUGAAUUUAGUAGUAAAACAGAUAAGAGUGUCUGUUUUAACAACGCUCUGGGACGCGU
rnacentral:rRNA from 1 species